GACACCAAUAGCGUCUGCUACAUACAGCAGCUAAAACUGAAGCUUUUCUGAGCUCCUGAGAGCAACUGAGAUGAAAAAGAGGCUUUGUCUUUACUCAUUUCUCUGGAUGAGUCUAGAUUAUGACCACACACUGUGAAGGAGAGAAUGAGGCUGAAAGGAACUGUUACAUUAGAUUGUGACAGAGCAAAGAGUGUGUGUUUGUGUGUGUAGGUGACCGAGAGAAAGAAGAGGCAGUGUUUACUAUUCCCAAAAUGGCACAAGAAAAUGAAGAUUUCCUGACCUGUCAUUUUCACUAAAAGUAAUGGUGCAAUUAUAGGAAGUGCCUGGGUAGUUCUGAAAUUCUUUCAGAAACUGGGGAACAAGUUCUCAUUCCAUUUUCAGUUGGAAUAAUGAAGCCAAACGACUGUCUCUUCACCAUCAAGUGCACUCAGGGAACAGGGACUUGGAAACGGUACCCUUGAAGAGGUGAUCCUGAGGCAGCCUGAAAUGACAGGGGAGACAGUGGUUCAUCAGGGAGAUUAGAUCUGGAGUAAAUGGCUGCAGGUUGGCAUUCUAGACAAAGGUGAGCCACUUGGAGGAAGGGCAAGUGCACAGGGGCAUCAAAUAUCCUGAAUUGUUCAAAGGAGUGGAGUAAGUUCUCCACUACUGAGAACAAAGUGGUAUGUAAUGAUUAAUGAUGCUAGAGAAGGAAUUAUAGGCCAGGCCAGAUCAUAGAAAGCCUUGAGUCCAUCUUGUAGACUUUGGGAUGAAGCUGUAAGAAAGGAUUUGAAGCAGAGAAAUGACAGGAUCUGAUUUUAUUUUUGUGAAGAUCCUCCCUGGUGGAUCAGAAGUGUGAGCAACUGGAGUGGAGACAGUAAUUAGAAAAUUAUUGCCAAAAUCUGGGGUAGAGUUGGCAAGAGCCAGAGCUAAGCCAAGAGCAACGAGGAUGAAGAAGAGGCCGCUUGUGGGCAAGAUGUAAAUCAGGAAACACCUGCAGGACUCACAGAUGACUCACUAGGAAUGGUGAUGGAGAAGGAGGCAUCUAGGGUCACCCCGGGUUUAUGGCUUGAGUGAAAGGGUGAGUGAGGACACCAUUCCCCAAAACAGGAG
rnacentral:lncRNA from 1 species